rnacentral:SRP_RNA from 1 species
GCCGGGUGUGGUGGCGUGCACCUGUAAUCCCAGCUACUUGGGAGGCUGAGGCAGGAGAAUCGUUUGAACCCAGGAGGCAGAGGUUGCAGUGAGCCAAGAUCGUGCCACUGCAUUCCAGCCUGGGCAACAGAAUGAGACUCUGUCUCAA